rnacentral:rRNA from 1 species
AGUAACGGCGAGUGAAGCGGCAUCAGCUCAAAUUUGAAAUCUGGCUCUUUCAGGGUCCGAGUUGUAAUUUGCAGAGGGAGCUUUCGAGUUGGCAGCGGUCUAAGUUCCUUGGAACAGGACGUCACAGAGGGUGAGAAUCCCGUACGUGGUCGCAGGCCUUCUCGAGGUAAAGCCCCUUCGACGAGUCGAGUUGUUUGGGA